rnacentral:rRNA from 1 species
GACGAACGCUGGCGGCGUGCCUAAUACAUGCAAGUCGAACGCAGUGGGGACGGGUGAGUAACACGUGGGUAACCUCCCAUCAGAGGGGAUAACACUUGGAAACAGGUGCUAAACCGAUAUUGAUUGAUGGACCCUCUGUGCAUUAGCUAUUUGGUGGGGUAACGGCUCACCAAGGCCACGAUGCAUAGCCGGCCGGAGAGGGUGACCGGCCAAAUUGGGACUGAGACACGGCCCAGACUCCUACGGGAGGCAGCAGUAGGGAAUCUUCGGCAAUGGACGAAAGUCUGACCGAGCAACGCCGCGUGAGUGAAGAAGGUUUUCGGAUCGUAAAACUCUGUUGUUAGAGAAGCGGUAUCUAAACAGAAAGCCACGGCUAACUACGUGCCAGCAGCCGCGGUAAUAC